AGAUAAUAGAUACCCGGGUAGUCCACGCCCUAAACGAUGUCGACUGGUUGUUGGGGGUUUGACACUCUCAGUAAACGAAAGCUAAACGCGUGAAGUCGACCGCCUGGGGAGUACGGCCGCAAGGUUAAAACUCAAAGGAAUUGACGGGGACCCGCACAAGCGGUGGAUUAUGUGGAUUAAUUCGAUGCAACGCGAAAAACCUUACCUACCCUUGACAUGUCCGGAAGGCCUGAGAGAUCAGGCUGUGCCCGAAAGGGAACCGGAACACAGGUGCUGCAUGGCUGUCGUCAGCUCGUGUCGUGAGAUGUUGGGUUAAGUCCCGCAACGAGCGCAACCCUUGUCAUUAGUUGCUACAUUCAGUUGGGCACUCUAAUGAGACUGCCGGUGACAGACCGGAGGAAGGUGGGGAUGACGUCAAGUCCUCAUGGCCCUUAUGGGUAGGGCUUCACACGUAAUACAAUGGCGCGUACAGAGGG
rnacentral:rRNA from 1 species